rnacentral:lncRNA from 1 species
UGUAAAUGUGUGUGGGGGGGGCACAUUGUUUGUAAUGUAAAAUUAUUACCAAAAAAGGAAAUGCACCACUUUCGAUGGGACAUCCCAAAAAAGAAUACGCAUCACUUUCGAUGGGACGGAGGGAGUAGGUGAAAGUGUAAGUACCUUUGAAAAAGUGUAGAGGUGAAAGUGUAAGUACUAGGUGAAAGUUAUUUGCCUUUUUGUGGUACUAGGUGAA